rnacentral:tRNA from 1 species
ACUAUUAAAGUUUAGAAAAAACAAAGACUUUUCAAGUCUUAGUCUCAAGUUAAACCCUUGAUAAUAGUA